rnacentral:rRNA from 1 species
GAUGAACGCUGGCGGCGUGCCUAAUACAUGCAAGUCGAGCGAACAGAUGAGGAGCUUGCUCCUCUGACGUUAGCGGCGGACGGGUGAGUAACACGUGGAUAACCUACCUAUAAGACUGGGAUAACUUCGGGAAACCGGAGCUAAUACCGGAUAAUAUAUUGAACCGCAUGGUUCAAUAGUGAAAGACGGUUUUGCUGUCACUUAUAGAUUGAUCCGCGCCGCAUUAGCUAGUUGGUAAGGUAACGGCUUACCAAGGCAACGAUGCGUAGCCGACCUGAGAGGGUGAUCGGCCACACUGGAACUGAGACACGGUCCAGACUCCUACGGGAGGCAGCAGUAGGGAAUCUUCCGCAAAGGGCGAAAGCCUGACGGAGCAACGCCGCGUGAGUGAUGAAGGUCUUCGGAUCGUAAAACUCUGUUAUUAGGGAAGAACAAAUGUGUAAGUAACUAUGCACGUCUUGACGGUACCUAAUCAGAAAGCCACGGCUAACUACGUG